AUUGAACGCUAGCGGGAUGCCUUACACAUGCAAGUAGAACGGAGUGGCGAACGGGUGAGAAAUGUAGCGGAACGUGCCCAGUCGCGGGGGAUGACUACGCGAAAGCGUAGCUAAUACCGCAUACUAUUGGAGCGGCCGAUAUCUGAUUAGCUAGUUGGUGUGUUACAGGCACACCAAGGCGACGAUCCGUCGCAGGUUUGAGAGGACUACCAGCAACACUGGUACUGAGACACGGCCCAGACUCCUACGGGAGGCAGCAGGGGGGAAUUUUGUACAAUGGGGGAAACCCUGGUCCAGCCCUCCCGCGUUUGCGAUGAAGGCCUUCGGGUUGUAAAGCACUUUGGGCCGUAAAGCGGUACCUGCAGAAUAAGCACCGGCUAACUACGUGCCAGCAGCCGCGGUAAUUC
rnacentral:rRNA from 1 species